rnacentral:tRNA from 1 species
GCACCGGUAGUUCAGCGGCAUCAGAAUCCCGCGCUUUCAACGCGGUGAGGCAGGGUUCGACUCCCGCCCGGUGCA